rnacentral:lncRNA from 1 species
AUGUCAAACGAAUAAACAAUGAACAUAGUGAGCUUAAUGGAUAUAGUAAGAAUAAUCACAAAGAAAAAGAAAAUGACUUAAAAAAUGAAAAUGAAAUGGAAAAUAUGGCUGAAGAAAUGAAAGGUGAGGGACAUGAUGACAUAACAAAUGGAGAAGUCCAGGGAGACAAUUAUGGAGUGAUAUAUAAAAGUGACGAAUCAAACGGUGACUUAAAUGAAGAUCCUAAUGGGAGUCUAAAUGGAGAUACUAAUGGAGAUACUAAUGGAGAUCCUAAUGGAGAUCCUAAUGGAGAUAUUAAUAGAGAUUCUAAUGACGACUCCAAUAAAGACCCCAAUGAAAACCCCAACGAAGAAUCCAAUGGAGAUGACUAUGAUAUGUAUGACAAAUAUGAAGAUGACGACAAACUGGUAAAUAAAAAUGAUGAUUUUUAUACACAGGUAAGUAAAAAUGUAGAUAAUGAAAGAAUAGAAUUAGAAGUUAGAAAAGAUGACAGUAGUGACAGCAGUGACAGUAGCGACCCAGAUGUUUCUGAUAACGAUCAGUCGAAAUAUCUAUCAAAAGCACCAUUGAUCCAAAACAUAAGUGACAUUUAUUAUAAUAAUACAAACGAAUUGAAAGAAACAGUAAAUAUUGAAGAUGUGGAUUUGUAUGAUAUAGAAGAAGAUGAGUUAAGACAGAUGCACAAAGAUUUUCGUAAUUUAAGUUAUCGUGAACUAAUAAGAAAAAUUAAAGAAGAUGAUUUUUAUGUUUUUCCUGAUAUUAAUUAUAUUUUAGAAGUAUUUGAUAUAUAUUUGGAAAAUAAAAAUAAGAACAUAAAUAAGAAUUAUUUUUAUAGUUCUUUUUAUGGAAGUGAUUAUUUAAUAAUAAAAUCAAAAGGUGUGAAUUUGGAAACUUUUAUUUAUCCAUACUUUGAACCAAUAAAUAUAGAAAUGGAUGAAAUACAUACAUGUACAUCUAAAGAAUAUUAUAAUUGUAUAGAGAAAUAUAUUCGUUAUAAUUUAAAAAAAAAAAAAAAAGAAAAUGAAAAAAUUCUUUUUGCAUAUUUAGGAGUGUUUAAAAAUGAUAUAUUUAAAUUACCGAAAUCUCAAAUUAUGGAUGAUUUAAAAAAAACACAUUUAAAAAAAUUCUUGGAUACUCCUCAAAAAAUUAAUUUUUUUA